AUGCACCGCGGGUAUCUCGUCCCUCACUGCCUUCCUGGGGCAACUGCUGGAAACCAUGGGACAGGUGUCCGUCACCCAGCAAGAAGGACAAGUCACCGUGGAGCAGGGAAACACCUUCCAGACCAAUUGCACGUACCAGAGCUCCAGCUUUUAUGGUUUGCUCUGGUACCAGCAGAAGAAGGGACAAGCCCCUCAGCUGAUUUCUUCUCAAGCAGGAAAGGGCACCAAGCAGAAGGACCGUUUCACCACGGAGCUGAACACUGAUGGGAAACACAGUGUUCUGCGGCUGAAGGAAGUUGAGCUCUCUGACAGCGCCUUGUACCUCUGUGCUGUGAGUGACACCCUGGUGCAGGGAGCUGCCCUGGCUGAGCAACAACCCCGGAUGGGGAGGGGAUGUGUCUGUGCAAGGCAGAGCUCUGGGAUGGGGCCCUCAGCUCUCCCCUGGCUGCGCUGCUUCCCCUGUGCACUCCCAGAUCUGACAGCCAGAUCCUCUUUCCCAAAGGGGCUGGUGUCUGUGGCUGUGCAGAGAGGGCUGACCCUGACUGGCUGACCUGGACCGCAGGGCUCUACUUUCCUCCCUUCGCGGUCUGACAGAAUAGGGCAGAGCCUGCUGGGAAGCAGGACUCCCCUGGGGGAUUGCUCUCAGCCCCUCAGCCCCAGGGUGAGUAAAUUCCUGCCAGCCCAUGAUAAAGCAGCUUGCUUUGAGCCCUGGUCAGCCCAGCCCAGAGACCCCUAGAAGUAGUCCUGACAGAGAUUUGCAGGGUUCUUCUCUCUCUUCAAUGAGUCAGUCAAUAAACUGGAUUUGCAUCCCAGCCACCAGGUUUUCUCCAGACCUUCAGCCAGUUCGUGUCCAAAGCCUGUGCCUAAGGGACAGAACAAAUAGAGCAGCCCUUAGUGCCAAAGGCCCAAGAGCUCUCCAUGUUCAUCACAGUAAGCAAUCAGAGCAAGAGAUAAAUGAAGACCUACAGCCCACUGAGUUUGUUGACGUCUCCUCAGGGGAGCUGGAGGCAUGUGUGAUCAUCCUCAGCCCCUGCACAGGGAGCAGUGUCAUAAUGACCAGCUCCUGCGGCAGUGGGGCAUUGCAUGUCUGGGACAAGCUGGGUGUCCUGCAGGCUGCAAAUGCCGAGACCUGGCAGGAGAAACGAGACUGUGCUGAUGAAGCUUCCUCCAUCUCACAAAGCAUGCUCAAUGUGGUGUUUUGAUGUCCUCAGACUUGAGGAAACUCUUUUGUCUGCUUGCAAGAGCAAGAAGCAAAGCAACCCGGAGAAAGAAAAGCUUGGCCCAGGCAGCUCCCAGCAGGGGGCAGCCAUGGGCCCUCUUUCCUCCGUGCUCUCGGGGAAGGCAGCACCAGGCUCAGCCUUGUCUCAGCAGGGGUCUGAUCUACCCCCGGGAUCAUUGCCCCAAGGAUUCUCUGGACACAUUG